UACGGGGGGAGCAAGCGUUGUUCGGAUUUACUGGGCGUAAAGGGCGCGUAGGCGGCCACCGCAAGUCGACUGUGAAAUCUCCGGGCUUAACCCGGAAAGGUCAGCCGAUACUGCGGGGCUAGAGUGCAGAAGGGGCAACUGGAAUUCUCGGUGUAGCGGUGAAAUGCGUAGAUAUCGAGAGAAACACCUGCGGCGAAGGCGGGUUGCUGGGCUGACACUGACGCUGAGGCGCGAAAGCUAGGGGAGCGAACGGG
rnacentral:rRNA from 1 species